rnacentral:rRNA from 1 species
UACGAAGGGGGCUAGCGUUGUUCGAAAUCACUGGGCGUAAAGGGCGCGUAGGCGGCCGAUCAAGUCUGAUGUGAAAGCCCGGGGCUCACCCCCGGAAGUGCAUUGGAAACUGGUGGACUCGAGUCCCGGAGAGGAGAGUGGAAUUCCUGGUGUAGCGGUGAAAUGCGUAGAUAUCAGGAGGAACACCGGUGGCGAAGGCGGCUCUCUGGACGGUGACUGACGCUGAGACGCGAAAGCGUGGGGAGCAAACAGG